rnacentral:rRNA from 1 species
GAUCAUGGCUCAGGAUGAACGCUAGCUACAGGCUUAACACAUGCAAGUCGAGGGGCAGCGGGAUUGAAGCUUGCUUCAAUUGCCGGCGACCGGCGCACGGGUGAGUAACGCGUAUCCAACCUUCCGUACACUCAGGGAUAGCCUUUCGAAAGAAAGAUUAAUACCUGAUGGUAUCUUAAGCACACAUGUAAUUAAGAUUAAAGAUUUAUCGGUGUACGAUGGGGAUGCGUUCCAUUAGGUAGUAGGCGGGGUAACGGCCCACCUAGCCAACGAUGGAUAGGGGUUCUGAGAGGAAGGUCCCCCACAUUGGAACUGAGACACGGUCCAAACUCCUACGGGAGGCAGCAGUGAGGAAUAUUGGUCAAUGGACGAGAGUCUGAACCAGCCAAGUAGCGUGAAGGAUGAAGGUCCUACGGAUUGUAAACUUCUUUUAUAAGGGAAUAAACCCUCCCACGUGUGGGAGCUUGUAUGUACCUUAUGAAUAAGCAUCGGCUAACUCCGUG